rnacentral:rRNA from 1 species
AUUGAUCGCUGGCGGCAUGCCUUACACAUGCAAGUCGAACGGCAGCACGGACUUCGGUCUGGUGGCGAGUGGCGAACGGGUGAGUAAUACAUCGGAACGUGCCCAAUCGUGGGGGAUAACGUAGCGAAAGCUACGCUAAUACCGCAUACGAUCUAAGGAUGAAAGCGGGGGAUCGCAAGACCUCGCGCGAUUGGAGGGGCCGAUGGCAGAUUAGGUAGUUGGUAGGGUAAAGGCCUACCAAGCCGACGAUCUGUAGCUGGUCUGAGAGGAUGAUCAGCCACACUGGGACUGAGACACGGCCCAGACUCCUACGGGAGGCAGCAGUGGGGAAUUUUAGACAAUGGACGCAAGUCUGAUCCAGCCAUUCCGCGUGCAGGAUGAAGGCCCUCGGGUUGUAAACUGCUUUUGUACAGAGCGAAAAGGCUCUGGUUAAUACCUAGGGCUCAUGACGGUACUGUAAGAAUAAGCACCGGCCAACUACGUGCCAGCCGCCGCUGUAA